ACAUACGACCAUACCCAUUGGAAAACUCGGGAUCCCGUUCGCUCUCCCAUAGAUAAGCCAAUGAGGGAAGUCUUACCUGUGGAGAGUCGCAUUUC
rnacentral:rRNA from 1 species